AACGACAGGUUACUAGCCUGAAAAGGCUUAGGCUGGUGAUUUUAUAAUCACCAGCCU
rnacentral:sRNA from 1 species